GAUGAACGCUGACAGAAUGCUUAACACAUGCAAGUCUUUGGCGAAGCUGUGCUUGCACAGCCUAGCCAAGGCGGACGGGUGAGUAACGCGUAAGGAACUUGCCCUACAGUCAGGGAUAACAGACGGAAACGACUGAUAAGACCUGGUAAAGUCAGGCGGACUCAUGUCCAGCCUGAUGAAAAGAGAUGCUGCAGGAGAGCCUUGCGUCCUAUUAGCUUGUUGGUGGGGUAACGGCCCACCAAGGCGAUGAUAGGUAGCCGGCCUGAGAGGGUGGACGGCCACAAGGGGACUGAGAUACGGCCCUUACUCCUACGGGAGGCAGCAGUGGGGAAUAUUGGACAAUGGGGGCAACCCUGAUCCAGCAAUUCUGUGUGCACGAUGAAGGUUUUCGGAUUGUAAAGUGCUUUCAGCAGGGAAGAAAAAAUGACGGUACCUGCAGAAGAAGCGACGGCUAAAUACGUG
rnacentral:rRNA from 1 species